UGCUUGUUUCAGAUGUGACCCU
rnacentral:siRNA from 1 species